rnacentral:lncRNA from 1 species
GAACCUGGGUAGAUAUGCCCUAUUCUCACCGGGGUGCACUGGAACUAGGCAUUGUUAUUGACUCGGAGACUUGAAGUAGAGGGAGUCGUGAGCUCCAGAGUGUGUGCGUGUGUGUGUGUGUGUAUGUGUGUGUGUGUGUGUGUGUGUGCGCGCGCGCGUGUGUGCGCGCCCCCGUGCGCGCGUGGGUGCAUAUAUGUGGUGUAGGGGAGGCAUUUUCCAGCUACUGGCCCCCAACUGCUCCUCCACCCGCUUCGGGCGCAGAGCGCUGCGCUCUUGGCGGAGGGGCCAGGGGUCGGCUGCGCAUGCAGUUGGCUUCAGAAAAGCACAGGGGGGUUGGUGGGUGGGUUGGCUGGCUGGCGCUCUGCAGUGCAGUGGAGUGUUAGCCCAGGCUCCCUAUAUGGUCGAAGAUUAGCUCGGUGCUGCUGAGGCUGAGCCAGGAAGAGGAGGGAGGAAGAGGAGGAGGAGGAGGAGGAGGAGGAGGAGGAGGAGGAGGAGGUAGCGAAGGAAGAGAAGGAAGGUGGGGAGGUAGGGAAGGAGAGAAGAGCAGGAGCGCACAUCGAGCUGCUGCCUGGGGAAGCAAAAGCGCUGGAGGCUGGGGCAUCACCAGCGCCUUGGGAACCAUGGCCGAAGCAGGAGAAGGAGGAGAGGAUGAGAUCCAGUUCCUGCGGACUAGACGCUGUGCAAACUGGGGACGCGCCAGCUGUGCCGGCAGGAGGAUGGGGCAGGUUGGAGGGACUAAGGAUGAGACAGGAAGAAAAGAUACAGACACCUCUGCACAGGGUCCUGGAAUUAUGCAGAUUCUCCCUUCAAUCACUGUGCCUUACGAUAACCAUAGCUGUUUUAGUGUUAACUUAGCUGUUGGGACCUAAAGGGAAAAGUACGUUACUCUGAUCUCUGCCUUAGCCCAGUGUCCCAUGAACCUGGGGUAGUCCCUGGAUUAAGCUCCAUGUUACCCCACUUCAGCUCCCUGGCACUCGGAGGUGCUUCUAUGCUCUAAUUCUUAGGGGAAGGGAACAGAUGACUUUGGCAUCUACAUGACCCUUUCCUCUCAGAAGUUCGUGUAGGAGGAAAUCUUGAGACUCACUCUAUUAGUAAUAGGGGUAGGAGGAUGGGGGCUUUUAUAUACACUGACUGGAUCCUGGAAUUAGGGCACUCCUCCCCACCCCUCCAACUAACCCCCUACUAUCCAACUGAGCCACCAUUAAAGACAACUGCCAGGGUCCCGACUUCCAACUAUCCUCUCUUUUUCCUGUCCUUCAUAGACCAAGCUUCCCUAUCUUUUCUCUUCCUUCACCAGUGCCCCUCAGAGUACAGUUUUGGCUUUAAAAGACUGAAGAUCAUUUUAACCUGACAUCCUGGAGGAACUUUCUGGUUCCUUAUUAAAGUGCCAAAGCUAGACCCCACAGCUUUAUGUUCCACACCACAUGCUUUAAGAUUGUCUUGCCCUACAGAGUUGAGGCUCCAGAUUGCCUUCAAACCCCUAAUAGCACUCAUGAAUUUUUUUGUGUUUCUUUCCCAAAGAUGUUAGCCCCCUAGAAUCCUACAGAAGAUAGGUGCAUAGCCAGGUUUCAGGCAUUACUUCCACCAGGACUGGACUCUAGCUUUAGUUGAUAGCAAUUUAAUACUUUUUUGUGGUCACUAAUAGUGUUAAGAACUUCCCUCCAGACUGCUGGGGUCAAUUCUGAAUGGAGAGAUAGCUUUAUAGAGCCGGAGCUUUAAACAGAGACUGGUUUUUAGUGGGAUCACAUUUGCAUUUUUGAAAUUUCCACCUUUCAUUUCUCCCUUGGCCUUAGCCACCACCUUCAGUGACUUUCCAAAGCUCUCAAGCAGUAUUGCUGUUUUCUAUUCAUCUGCAGCCAAAGCUCACUG